rnacentral:lncRNA from 1 species
AUGGGUGGAAUUUCUUAUCUAUUUUGUAGCUCGUCUAGGCAAGAUACAGAAAAUCAGGGAUCUUUUGUGGUCUUCUACGGUCUUCCAAGACUACACGACCCUACCUGCCGUGCUACUUGUGAGAUCUGCUAUUGCUGCAAUCUAAAGGAAAACAGAAAGGCCAACAUGGGAGAGCUUUUUCAAGGGAGAAACAACCUGAAUUUGUUCUUCAUAAUUGACACACAACAGGAAGAUAAAGCAAAGCAUGCUUCCACGGGACACUCCUGUCUCAGAAGAGUGCUGCUGGAAGGCAUGUUCCCUGGCUACACCCGCACAGGCUGUCAUCGUUCUCCUGGCCUACCGGUACAUUUGGAGGGACACAGAAAAGUUGACCCCGUGGGACCAGAGCAAAGGAGGACUCUGAGACAGGCCAGGAAGAAGGCCAUGAAAAAUGUGGCGGUCAACAAGGCAUUAUUACCAGGACAUUUCAUUCUGAAGCACUACACAAAUGUCCUCCCACACAAUAAAACGUGA